GACGUAGGGCGCAAGCGUUGUCCGGAUUAUUGGGCGUAAGGAGCUCGUAGGCGGCUUGUUGCGUCGUCCGUGAAAACCCGCAGCUCAACUGCGGGCUUGCGGACGAUACGGGCAGGCUGGAGUUCGGUAGGGGAGACUGGAAUUCCUGGUGUAGCGGUGAAAUGCGCAGAUAUCAGGAGGAACACCGGUGGCGAAGGCGGGUCUCUGGGCCGAUACUGACGCUGAGGAGCGAAAGCGUGGGGAGCAAACAGG
rnacentral:rRNA from 1 species